AUUGAACGCUGGCGGCAUGCCUUACACAUGCAAGUCGAACGGUAACAGGUCUUCGGAUGCUGACGAGUGGCGAACGGGUGAGUAAUACAUCGGAACGUGCCUAGUAGUGGGGGAUAACUACUCGAAAGAGUGGCUAAUACCGCAUGAGAUCUACGGAUGAAAGCAGGGGAUCGCAAGACCUUGUGCAAUUAGAGCGGCCGAUGGCAGAUUAGGUAGUUGGUGGGAUAAAAGCUUACCAAGCCGACGAUCUGUAGCUGGUCUGAUAGGACGAUCAGCCACACUGGGACUGAAACACGGCCCAGACUCCUACGGGAUGCAGCAGUGGGGAAUUUUGGACAAUGGGCGAAAGCCUGAUCCAGCAAUGCCGCGUGCAGGAUGAAGGCCUUCGGGUUUUAAACUUCUUUUGUACGGAACGAAAAGCCCUGGGUUAAUACCCUGAGGUCAUGACGGAACCUUAAGAAUCAGCACCGGCUAACUACGUGCCAGCCGCCGCGGUAAGAC
rnacentral:rRNA from 1 species